rnacentral:tRNA from 1 species
UCCUUGGUGGCUCAGAUUGUAAAGAAUCUGCCUGCAAUGCAGAAGACCUGGGUUCAAUCCCUAGAUCAGGAA